rnacentral:rRNA from 1 species
UACGUAGGGUGCAAGCGUUAAUCGGAAUUAUCUGGGGCCGUAAAAGCGUGCGCAGGCGGCGCGUUAAGACAGGUGUGAAAAGCCCCCGAGCUUUAACUUUGGGAAUUGCGCUUGUGACUGGCGUGCUGGAGUGUGGCAGAGGGAGGUGGAAUUCCACGUGUAGCAGUGAAAUGCGUAGAGAAUGUGGAGGAACACCGAUGGCGAAGGCAGCCUCCUGGGCCAGCACUGACGCUCGAUAACACGAAAGCGUGGGG